rnacentral:tRNA from 1 species
ACACAAAAAUAGGUUAAUGAAAGACCGUUGGAUUCAUAAUCCGGAGGUGCGUGGAGCGCUGUUGUGUG